CCUACGGGUGGCAGCAGUGGGGAAUAUUGGACAAUGGGCGCAAGCCUGACCCAACAACGCCGCGUGAAGGAAGAAGGCUCUCGGUUUGUAAACCUCUUUUUACAGGGAAGAGUAGAACACUAUACCUCUCGAAUAAGCCGCGUCUAACUACGUGACAGCAGCCGCGGUAAUACGUAGGUGGCAAGCGUUGUCCGGAUUUACUGGGUGUAAAGGGCGUGUAGCGGGGUGGACAAGUCAGAUGUGAAAUCCCGCGGCUUAACCGCAGAACUGCGUUUGAAACUGUUGCUCUUGAGUACAGGAGAGGUAGGCGGAAUGCCUAGUGUAGCGGUGAAAUGCGUAGAUAUUAGGAGGAACACCGGUGGCGAAGGCGGUUUACUGGACAGUAACUGACGGUGAGGCGCGAAAGCGUGGGGAGCAAACAGGAUUAGAUACCCUUGUAGUC
rnacentral:rRNA from 1 species